rnacentral:rRNA from 1 species
GUAGGGAAUAUUGGGCAAUGGGCGAAAGCCUGACCCAGCAAUGCCGCGUGUGUGAAGAAGGCCUUCGGGUUGUAAAGCACUUUCGGCCGGGAGGAAAAGCGCAGGGUUAAUACCUUUGCGUCUUGACGUAACCGGCAGAAGAAGCACCGGCUAACUCUGUGCCAGCAGCCGCGGUAAUACAGAGGGUGCGAGCGUUAAUCGGAAUCACUGGGCGUAAAGCGUGCGUAGGCGGUCGUUUAAGUCGGGUGUGAAAUCCCCGGGCUCAACCUGGGAAUUGCAUUCGAUACUGGACGACUGGAGUACGGGAGAGGGAAGCGGAAUUCCGGGUGUAGCGGUGAAAUGCGUAGAUAUCCGGAGGAACACCGGUGGCGAAGGCGGCUUCCUGGUCCGAUACUGACGCUGAGGUACGAAAGCGUGGGGAGCAAACAGGAUUAGAUACCCUGGUAGUCC